UACGGAGGGUGCAAACGUUGUUCGGAAUCAUUGGGCGUAAAGCGCACGUAGGCGGCCUGAUAAGUCGGGUGUGAAAGCCCUGGGCUCAACCCAGGAAGUGCACUCGAAACUGUCAGGCUUGAAUAUGGAAGAGGGUCGCGGAAUUCCCGGUGUAGAGGUGAAAUUCGUAGAUAUCGGGAGGAACACCAGUGGCGAAGGCGGCGACCUGGGCCAAUAUUGACGCUGAGGUGCGAAAGCGUGGGGAGCAAACAGG
rnacentral:rRNA from 1 species